rnacentral:rRNA from 1 species
CAACCUGCCCAUCACUUGGGGAUAACCUUGCGAAAGUAAGACUAAUACCCAAUGACGUCCAUAGAAGACAUCUGAAAUGGAUUAAAGAUUUAUCGGUGAUGGAUGGGGAUGCGUCUGAUUAGCUUGUUGGCGGGGUAACGGCCCACCAAGGCGACGAUCAGUAGGGGUUCUGAGAGGAAGGUCCCCCACAUUGGAACUGAGACACGGUCCAAACUCCUACGGGAGGCAGCAGUGAGGAAUAUUGGUCAAUGGGCGAGAGCCUGAACCAGCCAAGUAGCGUGCAGGAUGACGGCCCUAUGGGUUGUAAACUGCCUUUAUAAGGGAAUAAAGUGGGAGUCGUGACUCCUUUUGCAUGUACCUUAUGAAUAAGGACCGGCUAAUUCCGUGCCAGCAGCCGCGGUAAUACGGAAGGUCCGGGCGUUAUCCGGAUUUAUUGGGUUUAAAGGGAGCGUAGGCCGGAGAUUAAGCGUGUUGUGAAAUGUAGACGCUCAACGUCUGCACUGCAGCGCGAACUGGUUUCCUUGAGUACGCACAAAGUGGGCGGAAUUCGUGGUGUAGCGGUGAAAUGCUUAGAUAUCACGAAGAACUCCGAUUG